CGCGUAGACGGUUUGGUAAGUCAGGUGUGAAAUCCCCGGGCUCAACCUGGGAACUGCAUUUGAUACUGCCUGGCUAGAGUAUGGAAGAGGGAAGUGGAAUUUCCGGUGUAGCGGUGAAAUGCGUAGAUAUCGGAAGGAACACCAGUGGCGAAAGCGACUUCCUGGUCCAAUACUGACGUUCAUGUGCGAAAGCGUGGGGAGCAAACAGGAUUAGAUACCCUGGUAGUCCACGCCAUAAACGAUGACAACUAGAUGUUGGGAGGGUCUGCCUCUCGGUGUCGCAGCUAACGCGUUAAGUUGUCCGCCUGGGGAGUACGGCCGCAAGGUUGAA
rnacentral:rRNA from 1 species